rnacentral:rRNA from 1 species
GACGAACGCUGGCGGCGUGCCUAAUACAUGCAAGUUGAGCGCUGAAGGUUGGUACUUGUACCGACUGGAUGAGCAGCGAACGGGUGAGUAACGCGUGGGGAAUCUGCCUUUGAGCGGGGGACAACAUUUGGAAACGAAUGCUAAUACCGCAUAAAAACUUUAAACACAAGUUUUAAGUUUGAAAGAUGCAAUUGCAUCACUCAAAGAUGAUCCCGCGUUGUAUUAGCUAGUUGGUGAGGUAAAGGCUCACCAAGGCGAUGAUACAUAGCCGACCUGAGAGGGUGAUCGGCCACAUUGGGACUGAGACCCGGCCCAAACUCCUAAGGGAGGCAGCAGUAGGGAAUCUUCGGCAAUGGACGAAAGUCUGACCGAGCAACGCCGCGUGAGUGAAGAAGGUUUUCGGAUCGUAAAACUCUGUUGGUAGAGAAGAACGUUGGUGAGAGUGGAAAGCUCAUCAAGUGACGGUAACUACCCAGAAAGGGACGGCUAACUACGUG